rnacentral:rRNA from 1 species
AUUGAACGCUGGCGGCAUGCCUUACACAUGCAAGUCGAACGGUAACAGGUCUUCGGAUGCUGACGAGUGGCGAACGGGUGAGUAAUACAUCGGAACGUGCCUAGUAGUGGGGGAUAACUACUCGAAAGAGUGGCUAAUACCGCAUGAGAUCUACGGAUGAAAGCAGGGGAUCGCAAGACCUUGUGCUACUAGAGCGGCCGAUGGCAGAUUAGGUAGUUGGUGGGAUAAAAGCUUACCAAGCCGACGAUCUGUAGCUGGUCUGAGAGGACGAUCAGCCACACGGGGACGGAGGCACGGCCCAGACUCCUACGGGAGGCAGCAGUGGGGAAUUUUGGACAAUGGGCGCAAGCCUGAUCCAGCAAUGCCGCGUGCAGGAUGAAGGCCUUCGGGUUGUAAACUGCUUUUGUACGGAACGAAAAGCCCUGGGUUAAUACCCUGGGGUCAUGACGGUACCGUAAGAAUAAGCACCGGCUAACUACGUGCCAGCAGCCGCCGUAACAC